GCAAGUGUUGACACAUUUAUAAUCUCAUGAGAUGGUGAGGCAUAGUAGAGAAAUUUGUAAUCCAGGUACAGGGUGACCCAGAGUGGAUAUACAGUAAUUCCAGGAGAUGGUGAGCCAGAGUGGACAAAUUUGUAUUCCCAGGAGAUAUUAAGCCAGAGUCGACAAAUUUGUAUUCCCAGAAGAUAGCAAGACAGAGCAGACAAAUUUGUAAUCCCAGGAGAUGGUAAGCCAGCGUGGACACAUUUGUAAUCCUAGUAGAUGGUGAGUCAGAGUGGACACAUUUGUUAUCUCAGGAUAUGUUCAGUCAAGGUAGACAUAUUAGAAUGCCCAAAUAAUGGUGAGCCAGAAUGGACACAAAGGAUGGUGAUUCCAGAGUUCAAUUAUUUGUAAUCCCAGGAGACAGUGAGCUAGAGUAGACAUUUUUGUAAUUCCAGGAGAUGGUGAUCCAAAGUAGACAUAUUUGUAAUCCCAGGAGAAUGUGAGCCAGAGUAGACAUUUUUGUAAUGCCAGGAAAUGGUGAACCAGAGUGGACCCAUUUGUAAUACAAGGAGAUAUAGAACACGAGUGGACACAUUUGUAAUCUCAGGAAAUGGUGAGCCAUACUGGACACAUUUUCUAAUCCUAGGAGAUGGUGAGCCAUAGUGGACAAAUAUGCAAUCCCAUGAGAUGGUGAGCCAAGGUGGACAUAUUAGGAAUCCUAGAGGUUGGUGAGCCAGAGUGGACACAUUUGUAAUUCCAGGAGAUGUUGAGCCAGAGUGGAGACAUUUGUAAUUCCAGGAGAUGGUGAGCCAGCGUGGACACAUUUGUAAUUCCAUGAGAUGGUGAGCCAAGGUGGACAUAUUAGGAAUCCUAGAGGUUGGUGAGCCAGAGUGGACACAUUUGUAAUUCCAGGAGAUGUUGAGCCAGAGUGGAGACAUUUGUAAUUCCAUGAGAUGGUGAGCCAAGGUGGACAUAUUAGUAAUCCCAAAGGAUGGUGAUCCAGAGUGAACAAAUUUUUAUCCCAGGAGUUGGUAAACCAGAGUGGAUAAAUUUGUAUUCCCAGGAGAUAGUAAGCCAGAGUGGACAAAUUUGUAAUCCCAGGAGAUGGUAAGGUGGAGUGGACACAUUUGUAAUCCUAGUAGAUGGUGAGUCAGAGUGAACACAUUUGUAAUCUCAGGACACGGUGAGACAUGUUAGACAUAUUAGUAAUCAAAAAGGUGGAUAAGCCCCAAUGGACACAUUUGUAAUCCCAAAGGAUGGUGAUUUAGAGUAGACAUAUAUGUAAUCCCAGGAGAUGGUGAGCCAGAGUAGACAUUUAUGUAAUUCCAGGAGAUGGUGAGCCAGAGUGGACACAUUUGCAAACAAGGAGAUGUAGAACAGGAGUGGACAAAUUUGUAAUCCCAGGAAAUCAUGAGCCAGAUUGGACACAUUUGUAAUCCUAGGAGAUGGUGAGCCAUAGUGGAUAAAUUAGUAAUCCCAUUAGAUGGUGAACCAAGGUAGACAUAUUAGUAACCCCAAAGGUUGGUGAGCAAGAGUGGACACAUUUGUAAUUCCAGGAGAUGUUGAGCCAGAGUGGACACAUUUGUAAUUCCAGGAGAUGGCGAGUCAGCAUGGACACAUUUGUAAUCCCAUGAGAUGGUGAGCCAAGUUGGACAUAUUAGGAAUUACAAAGGAUGGUGAGCCAGAGUGGACAUAUUUGUAAUUCCAGGAGAUGUUGAGCCAAGUGGAAUUAUUUGUAAUUCCAGGAGAUGGUGAACCAGAGUAGAAACAUUUGUAAUUCCAGGAGACGGUGACCCAGAGUGGGCACAUUUAUAAUUCCAGGAGAUGGUGAGCCAGAGUGGACACAUUUGUAAUAUAAGGAGAUGUAGAACAUGAGUGGGCACAUUUGUAAUCCCAGGAAAAGUGAGCGAGAUUGGACACAUUUGUAAUCAAAUGAGAUGAUGAGUCAAGGUGGACAUAUUUAUAAUCUCAAAGGAUGGUGAGCCAGAGUGGACACAUUUGUAAUCCCAUGAGAUGGUGAGACAAGGUUUACAUAUUAUUAAUCCCAAAGUUUGUUGAGCCAGAUUGGACACAUUUGUAAUUCCAGGAUAUGGUGAGCCAGAGUGGGCACAUUUGUAAUCCCAUGAGAUGGUGAGACAAGUUGGAUAUAUUAGUAAUUCCAAAGUAUGAUGAACCAGAGUGGACAUAUUUGUAAUUCCAGGAGAAGAUGAGCCAGUGUGAAAAUAUUUGUAAUUCCAUGAGAUGGUGAGUCAGAAUGGACACAUUUGUAAUUCCAGCAGAUGGUGAGCCAGUGUGGACACAUUUCUAAUCCCAGGAGAAGGUGAACCAGCAUGGACACAUAUGUAAUCCCAGGAGAUGGUGAGCCAACUUGGAUAUACCAAGAAACUCAAGGGAUG
rnacentral:lncRNA from 1 species